rnacentral:lncRNA from 1 species
GAGGUGGAUGAGGAAGAUGAGGAGAACAAGGUGGACUAGGAUUUGUGCACGGAGAAGAACGAGAAGGAAAAGGACAAGGAAGCUGAGGGUAACAAGGUGGACGAGGAUUUGUGCUCGGCAACGCCUCCGAAGACUUUUUUCACACCGGCCAUCUAAUCCUCUGAGUCUGCAGCUUACAAUAAAGUUGUGGCAUCUAAGAGAUGUGAGAACUCGACUGAUAGGUCAGAAACUGAUGCAUCCUCUGCACAUCAGUCUGGUAGCAAUACUUCGUCAUGCGUACAAAUACGUUCUUAUUCGAUGUUGAAAGAAUGAGUGAUGGAUCAGUAUCUUACCGAAGAGAGAGAUCAUCUGGUGUAUGGGGGCUGUAUUCAAUCACGACUCGUUUCGUAAUUCAGCAGAGAAAGUGGCUUUAUUCAAAUACAUUUUCUCCGAAAUUGAUGAAGUCCAAAAAUUAGAACACGGUAAAUUUAAAAUUUCGUAUGUAAUUAACCUUGGUCUUGCGCCUUACUUUAACAACAAUUUAUAUGAUAUCACUAAGUCAUGUGAUACUUAUGUACUAGAAUUCUGCGAAAGCCUAACCAAGAUUGCACAGAAACAACAAAUGCAUCGCAUUGUGAGAUAUUGGGACAAAGAAAAAAAUGAAGUAAGUACGUCGAGGUACCCGACGUCUGUUUUCCUGGAACAUACGACUGAAGAAGAUUUGUUGAAGGCUUUCAAAAGAGCCAUAGAUGGAUCCGAUCUUGAAAAGAUUCUACAUGCAUCGAUGGACGGCUCACAUGUCAAUUUCAAAUUUUUUGGCUUCGCAAGGAGGACAUUAAAUCUGAGAAUGAUGACCUGAAACUUCUUGAUGUCGGUUGAUUCGGUAUUCAUUCGCUGCAUUGUGCAUUCCAAGCUAGGAUUUGCGGUACUGGUUAGGAAAUCAUCGAUUUUUUGAGAGCCUUGUAUAACUUUUUUAAAGACGGUCCUUCUCGACGAAAAGAGUUUAUAGGAUAUUACAUGAGAAGGAAAUAUUGAAAGAAAUAUAAUGAAGAAUUAUAACAGGCCUGAAGGAAGACUUGCUCAUUUUUUGAUGCGAACGUUGAGAAACACUGACGGUAACGAUCAUUUCAAAAUCUUCAUUAAAACAUUGCUCAUUAUAUCACAUGGUAAUGCGAACUUAGAAAGAGUCUUUUCGACCAACAAAGAAAAACUCGUAAAAAAUCUUCAUGAACAAUCUGUGGUACUACGGUAAGUUUACGAUGCUGUUAUCGCAGCUAGUGGGAUACACAAUGUUCCAAUCACUAAAGCACUUAUCCAUGCCGCAAGAAAUACUCACACGAGAUACAAGGCAGCUUUGGUGCAAAAAGCAACAGAGAACAAGGCCCAAGAACAUGAGAAUGAGCAAACGAAGAGGGUCGCUCGGUAACAAAGAGAACUAUCAACAAAAAAGCUGAAAGUGCUCAAAGAAAUACACGAGAAAAAAAGCUGAUUUCGAAGAAAUUAAUAACCAGGCGAAGUCCGUUCAUCGAGCAUAGUGACGAAGAGAAGCAGUUACUAAAACAUUACCGUUCUCAAAAAUGUAUCUCUACCUAUCAUGUUGUACCGUUUUAUAAUUUGUGAUACUUUUUACUGGCAAAAACUGUUACAAGGGUUACCUAACGCACAUCUGGAUGUGUAUUAUCGCGCAAAACCCUCCCGGGGUACAUCUGACCCCGAUGUUCCAGAAAAACCAAUUCACAACCUAUGUUAAGUUAACUAGUCAAGUUACUUCCUCGUCUAUUUCUUCUUAUCUACGUAACGCGUAUAACACGAGCUACGGAUACAAUCAACGAGGAGAACUAUCGCAACAUACCACCAACGAGGAGAACUAUCGCAACAUACCACCAACGAGGACCACUGGCGCCACAAGGGACUAAUUUCUUGGCAAUUAUUUAUGUACAUGCAUGUGUAUAUGUAUACUUAUGC